rnacentral:rRNA from 1 species
UAAGGAACAAGGUUUCCGUAGGUGAACCUGCGGAAGGAUCAUUAAAGAGUAAGGGUGCUCAGCGCCCGACCUCCAACCCUUUGUUGUUAAAACUACCUUGUUGCUUUGGCGGGACCGCUCGGUCUCGAGCCGCUGGGGAUUCGUCCCAGGCGAGCGCCCGCCAGAGUUAAACCAAACUCUUGUUAUUUAACCGGUCGUCUGAGUUAAAAUUUUGAAUAAAUCAAAACUUUCAACAACGGAUCUCUUGGUUCUCGCAUCGAUGAAGAACGCAGCGAAAUGCGAUAAGUAAUGUGAAUUGCAGAAUUCAGUGAAUCAUCGAAUCUUUGAACGCACAUUGCGCCCCUUGGUAUUCCGAGGGGCAUGCCUGUUCGAGCGUCAUUACACCACUCAAGCUAUGCUUGGUAUUGGGUGCCGUCCUUAGUUGGGCGCGCCUUAAAGACCUCGGCGAGGCCUCACCGGCUUUAGGCGUAGUAGAAUUUAUUCGAACGUCUGUCAAAGGAGAGGACUUCUGCCGACUGAAACCUUUUAUUUUUCUAGGUUGACCUCGGAUCAGGUAGG